CCGGGGACAUGUGAGGUAGGACACUGUGAAAUGUAAAUGUAAAGGUAAAAAAUCUAACUAAAUCUACUGAGGAAUGCAUGCAAGCAAUAAAGAAGGCAGGGCACUGCAAUGCCAAGUCAGGACAUCGGAGGCAGGACACUGAAUGUAAAAGUUGUGUUCAUGCACUGCAUGCACUGUGGGUGUGUGAAUGAACUCAUAGCCAAGCGAGCACCAAAUAUUAUGUAUAGCAUUUUGUAGCGAAAAGAUCAAUCUGUUGGCAAGAUGUUGAUUU
rnacentral:misc_RNA from 1 species